UACGAGAGGCCCAAACGUUAUUCGGAAUUACUGGGCUUAAAGAGUUCGUAGGCGGCGCAGAAAGUAGGGUGUGAAAGCCCUCGGCUCAACCGAGGAAUUGCGCUCUAAACUACUGUGCUUGAGGGACCUAGAGGUGAGCGGAACUGAUGGUGGAGCGGUGAAAUGCGUUGAUAUCAUCAGGAACACCGGAGGCGAAGGCGGCUCACUGGGGGUCUUCUGACGCUGAGGAACGAAAGCCAGGGGAGCGAACGGG
rnacentral:rRNA from 1 species